GACGAACGCUGGCGGCGUGCCUAAUACAUGCAAGUAGAACGCUGAAGGAGGAGCUUGCUUCUCUGGAUGAGUUGCGAACGGGUGAGUAACGCGUAGGUAACCUGCCUGGUAGCGGGGGAUAACUAUUGGAAACGAUAGCUAAUACCGCAUAAGAGUAGAUGUUGCAUGACAUUUACUUAAAAGGUGCAAUUGCAUCACUACCAGAUGGACCUGCGUUGUAUUAGCUAGUUGGUGAGGUAACGGCUCACCAAGGCAACGAUACAUAGCCGACCGGAGAGGGGGAGCGGCCACACUGGGACUGAGACACGGCCCAGACUCCUACGGGAGGCAGCAGUAGGGAAUCUUCGGCAAAGGACGGAAGUCUGACCGAGCAACGCCGGGUGAGUGAAGAAGGUUGUCGGAUCGUAAAGCUCUGUUGUAAGAGAAGAACGAGUGUGAGAGUGGAAAGUGCACACUGUGACGGUAUCUGAACAGAAAGGGACGGCUAACUACGUG
rnacentral:rRNA from 1 species